rnacentral:rRNA from 1 species
UACGUAGGGUGCAAGCGUUGUCCGGAAUUAUUGGGCGUAAAGAGCUCGUAGGCGGUCUGUCGCGUCGGCUGUGAAAACCCGAGGCUCAACCUCGGGCCUGCAGUCGAUACGGGCAGACUAGAGUGCUGUAGGGGAGACUGGAAUUCCUGGUGUAGCGGUGAAAUGCGCAGAUAUCAGGAGGAACACCGGUGGCGAAGGCGGUUCUCUGGGCAUUACCUGACGCUGAGGAGCGAAAGUGUGGGAGGCGAACAGG